GCCUACGGGGCGCAGCAGUAGGGAAUCUUCCACAAUGGAGGAAACUCUGACGCAGUGACGCCGCGUAUAGGAAGAAGGUUUUCGGAUUGUAAACUAUUGUCGUGAGGGAAGAAGAUGACAGUACCUCAGGAGGAAGCUCCGGCUAACUAUGUGCCAGCAGCCGCGGUAAUACGUAGGUGGCAAGCGUUGUCCGGAAUUACUGGGUGUAAAGGGAGCGCAGGCGGGAAGCCAAGUCAGCUGUGAAAACUACGGGCUUAAAUUGUAGACUGCAGUUGAAACUGGUUUUCUUGAGUGAAGUAGAGGUU
rnacentral:rRNA from 1 species